rnacentral:ncRNA from 1 species
GUGGGAGGAGCUAGGGCUCUGACCGCGUGCCUGUUGAAGAAUGAGCCGGCGACUCAUAGGCAGUGGCUUGGUUAAGGGAAACCACCGGAGCCGUAGCGAAAGCGAGUCUUCAUAGGGCUAUUGUCACUGCUUAUGGACCCGAACCUGGGUGAUCUAUCCAUGACCAGGAUGAAGCUUAGGUGAAACUAAGUGGAGGUCCGAACCGACUGAUGUUGAAAAAUCAGCGGAUGAGUUGUGGUUAGCGGUGAAAUCAAAUAAACAAAAAUGAAGAAUCAAAGCAUGUAGUUGGGAAUGCUACUGAGGUCAAAUCCAGAGUUAAAAAGGCGAUGGCGCUUGC